GAGGGAGAGAGGAGAAGCGGCGAAGCCCUGCCAGAUUUUCAAGCUGGCGACUGCAGGUAUGGCCGGGGUUACUCCUGCGUUGCUGGACCCAACAAUAGACUCGGGUCACCGGUCCUUCCUUGCUGUGGUUCAGCACCAACAACUCAACGUGCUGCGUCCACGUCCACCUGCAGAGUUGGUUCCUGUAGACCCACGAUGGGUGCCCAGGCUGAGCGAGGCAGGUCUUCUCACUGUGGCUCGUCUUGCUGAGAGUGCCUUGGUGAAGCUAGACAUGUCUCUACUUUCAGCUCUCGUUGACAGAUGGAGACCUGAGACACACACGUUCCACCUCCCUUGUGGGGAGAUGGCACCGACUCUGCAGGACGUUGCGAUGCUGCUUGGUCUUCCUAUCACCGGAGACGCUGUC